rnacentral:misc_RNA from 1 species
UAGAGCGCGUGAGUGGUGCUUGGUGUGUGCGGGUAUGUCGGAUCCUUGCUUUGGGCAACGACGGCAUCUCCCAACGCCUCCUCAGUGGUGGGAACAAGCUCGUUGUGCUUGUCCGCGGUCGGUUUUCCUGUGUUGCAUACCAAUUGUGACGGCAUUCGGUUGGCUAAAACGGUCCCAUCUCCGCCGUGCGUCGGCGCUCCCCGCGAGCGUUCGAUGUGUGGUGGAUCUCACGGCUCGCGUCGUGUAUCGCGCCGCAUUCACCUCACUCGGUGUUUGGGUAGGCGACCCAUGACGUGAUGCCCGUUGUCUCGGGUGCGGAACAUCGGGUGGGUUCGAGGCAUUGUCCUUUGAUCGCCACACAAAUGCGUUCUACGAACGACGGCCGGACUCGAUCUCUGGCGGGGCACUCGUGCUCGGUUGGAAUCGUGCCGGCGUCGGUGAGGGAUGC